GAUGAACGCUGGCGGCGUGCCUAAUACAUGCCAGUCGAGCGAACAGACGAGGAGCUUGCUCCUCUGACGUUAGCGGCGGACGGGUGAGUAACACGUGGAUAACCUACCUAUAAGACUGGGAUAACUUCGGGAAACCGGAGCUAAUACCGGAUAAUAUAUUGAACCGCAUGGUUCAAUAGUGAAAGACGGUUUUGCUGUCACUUAUAGAUGGAUUCGCGCCGCAUUAGCUAGUUGGUAAGGUAACGGCUUACCAAGGCAACGAUGCGUAGCCGACCUGAGAGGGUGAUCGGCCACACUGGAACUGAGACACGGUCCAGACUCCUACGGGAGGCAGCAGUAGGGAAUCUUCCGCAAUGGGCGAAAGCCUGACGGAGCAACGCCGCGUGAGUGAUGAAGGUCUUCGGAUCGUAAAACUCUGUUAUUAGGGAAGAACAAAUGUGUAAGUAACUAUGCACGUCUUGACGGUACCUAAUCAGAAAGCCACGGCUAACUACGUG
rnacentral:rRNA from 1 species